rnacentral:misc_RNA from 1 species
GAGGCCUUCUUCUUUAGCUUCAUUGUCGCCUAUUUUCCUACUCGGCGAAAAGAAAGCUUCUUGUUCUGCUGUGAUAAUGGCGGCAGCGGAAACAUGGGGGGGUUUUUUAGUAGUUUCAAUGAGCCUCGGUGGGAAAUGGGUUGGAGCCCAGGUGCACCAUGUGGUUGGAGAGGAUCGUGGCUGGGACCCUUCAACUGAUGUGGCUUCAUGGUCCUCCGGCAAAACUUUCAGGGUCGGAGACAAAAUUUGGUUCGCAUACUCCGCUGCACAUGGGAGAAUAGCUGAGCUCAAGACUAAGGAGGAAUUCGAGUCAUGUAAUAUCAACAAUCCAAUCAAAAUUUACGAGGAUGGUAUAUUUAGCAUAAUGCUGGAAGGGGAAGGGAUCCGCUAUUUCGUGAGUAGCAACUCUGAGAGCUGUAAGAAGGGACUCAAGCUACCUGUGGAGGUGAUGCCUCCUCAUAAACCACAUGAUACCCCAAAAGUCGCCACAUCAGAAAGCGCAGCCUUGGGUCUUGCUACUGGGCCCACUCCCUCUGGGUCGGCCCAUCUGAGAGCUUGCUUUGUGUUAUUAGUUGCUGGGUAUUGGCUAUUCUAUAUGCUUAUUUAGGGGCGUGUUUGUUUACCAGGUUUAGGCCUAUUGUGG